UUAGUUGCCAUCAUUCAGUUGGGCACUCUAGCGAGACUGCCGGUAAUAAACCGGAGGAAGGUGGGGAUGACGUCAAAUCAUCCAUGCCCCUUAUGACCUGGGCUACACACGUGCUACAAUGGUUGGUACAACGAGUUGCGAGUCGGUGACGGCGAGCUAAUCUCUUAAAGCCAAUCUCAGUUCGGAUUGUAGGCUGCAACUCGCCUACAUGAAGUCGGAAUCGCUAGUAAUCGCGGAUCAGCACGCCGCGGUGAAUACGUUCCCGGGCCUU
rnacentral:rRNA from 1 species